AUUGAACGCUGGCGGCAGGCCUAACACAUGCAAGUCGAACGAGUGGCGGACGGGUGAGUAAUGUCUGGGAAACUGCCUGAUGUAGGGGGAUAACUACUGGAAAAGGUAUCUAAUACCGCAUACCAUCCUCUGUGCCCAGAUGGGAUUAGCUAGUUGGGGGGGUAACGGCUCACCAAGGCGACGAUGCAUAGCUGGUCUGAGAGGAUGACCAGCCACACUGGAAAUAGGACACGGUCCAGACUCGUACGGUAGGCAGCAGUGGGGAAUAUUGGACAAUGGGCGAAAGCCUGAUGCAGCCAUGCCGCGUGUAUGAAGAAGGCCUUCGGGUUGUAAAGUACUUUCAUCGGGGAGGCGUUACCCGCAGAAGAAGCACCGGCUAACUCCGUGCCAGCAGCCGCGGUAAGUC
rnacentral:rRNA from 1 species